GCGUUCAUAGCUCAGUUGGUUAGAGCACCACCUUGACAUGGUGGGGGUCGUUGGUUCCGAGUCCAAUUGAACGCACCA
rnacentral:tRNA from 1 species